GACGAACGCUGGCGGCGCGCUUAACACAUGCGAGUCGAACGGAAAGGCCUGCUUUCCCUUGUGGAUUGCGGGUACUCGAGUGGCGAACGGGUGAGUAACACGUGAGUGAUCUGCCCCCAACUUGGGUAUAAGCCUGGGAAACUGGGUCUAAUUCCCGAUAGGACUGCAGGGUGGUGCCUGUGGUGGAAAACGAUUUUCUAGUGGUUGGGGAUGAGCUCGCGGCCUAUCAGCUUGUUGGUGGGGUAAUGGCCUACCAAGGCGGCGACGGGUAGCCGGCCUGGGAGGGUGGACAGCCACAUUGGGACUGAGAUACGGCCCAGACUCCUACGGGAGGCAGCAGUGGGGAAUAUUGCACACUGGGCGGAAGCCUGAUGCAGCGACGCCGCGUGGGGGAUGACGGCCUUCGGGUUGUAAACUCCUUUCGACCGCGAGGAAGCCACCUGGUUGGAAGGGUGGUGACGGUAGUGGUAGAAGAAGCACCGGCUAACUACGUG
rnacentral:rRNA from 1 species